CGCCCGCCAGGCUGGAGGAGGGAGGGAAGACCGAGAGGGGGCUCCAGCGGUGGCAGAGGCGGCGGGACGCGCGGCCCCGCUGCUGGCCUGGCUGCGCUCCCAGGCCCGCCCCUCCCAUUUGCCCGCCAGGCAGCCAGUGGUGAAUUAGCAGAUGAACGCACCCAAGCACUGCUGGGCUCUCAGACACAGAUGGCUCCCACGGGAAGUGUGACACAUGAGCACAGACAUGAAUGUGCACGUGGGCAGAGAUAUACACACAUGCCCAGAGGGCAUGAGUCACAGAGAAGAGGCAGAGGGCCAUGGCGAGCUCCACACUGACAACCCCAGCCCUGGCUACAUUCUUAGAUGCCCAACUUCAGUAGUACCUGGCACCAGGUACCUGCUUGGUUUGGCCACCCUGGAGCUUCUGGAAAGGUGAGCCCAGACUCUGAUGGGCACUGCCAGACAUGUGGCAGUGGUCGGGGAAGUAGACUCUGACGGGGGAAGCGGGGACACUCCAGGCAUCCUGAGCCCCAGCUUGGUUGUCCCCUGGGCUCUGCCCACCUGAGGGACCUGUGGAGAGGCGACAGGCACAAGAGCCCUGGAGUCCAGGCCCAUCUCUACCUGCUGUGUGACCCUGGACCCCAGUCUCCCCACCAUCCCAUGAAGCAAACAAAGCAUCUCAGACCACCCUGCCUAAUAAUCUCAGUGAUUCUCAACAGGGGCAAUUUUCCUCCCCGGGAGAUAUUCGGUAACGUCUGGAGAUAUCUGGCGUCAUCACAGCUUGGUGGGGGGACCUCCUAACAUCUAGAUGGUAGAGGCCACAGGACGCUGCUAAAUAUCCUACAAGGCACAACACGGUCUCUCACGAUACAGAAUGAUCCUGUCCAAAAUGCUCUCCUCCAAGGGGAAGAUUCCACCCCUCAGAAUUCCCACGCUCUCUGACCUCCUUUAAACUCUUAAUCAUGCUCUGACCAGGGCUGGGGGCCAUUUAGAAGACACAGGGGUUGCUCCUGCGUCUGCCUUCAAUAAGAGCAGCUAACAUUUAUUGAGCCCUUUUCAAGUUGCUGGUCGGCACCACGCACGGAGAAACUCAUUUUAGUCUCGCCACAACGGCGGGAAGCCCAGGCACUGUUAUGAUCCCCACUCUAAGCCUGAGGAGACAGGCAGAAAGAACAUGAGUAAUCAGCUCAAGGUUACACAGCUAGCCAGGAUGGAGCUGGAUGGGAAACGGUCACUUUGGGACAGACCCACAGGGCAGAGUCCUUUCUGGAAAGGAGCUCACACAGCAGGGCUCUGGGAAGUCCCUUUCCCUCUCUGAGUCACCGUUUUUUCUUUUCUUUUUUAUAAAAUAUUAAUUUGGCUGUGUUGGGUCUUAGUUGUGGUAUGCAGGAUCCUGCGUUGUGGCACACAGACUU